UACGUAGGGUGCGAGCGUUGUCCGGAAUUAUUGGGCGUAAAGGGCUCGUAGGCGGUCUGUCGCGUCGGGAGUGAAAACUCAGGGCUUAACCCUGAGCCUGCUUCCGAUACGGGCAGACUAGAGGUAUGCAGGGGAGAACGGAAUUCCUGGUGUAGCGGUGGAAUGCGCAGAUAUCAGGAGGAACACCGGUGGCGAAGGCGGUUCUCUGGGCAUUACCUGACGCUGAGGUGCGAAAGCGUGGGGAGCAAACAGG
rnacentral:rRNA from 1 species